rnacentral:rRNA from 1 species
GAUUAAUGCUGGCGGCAGGCCUAACACAUGCAAGUCGAACGGUAACAGGAAACAGCUUGCUGUUUCGCUGACGAGUGGCGGACGGGUGAGUAAUGUCUGGGAAACUGCCUGAUGGAGGGGGAUAACUACUGAAAACGGUAGCUAAUACCGCAUAACGUCGCAAGACCAAAGAGGGGGACCUUCGGGCCUCUUGCCAUCGGAUGUGCCCAGAUGGGAUUAGCUAGUAGGUGGGGUAACGGCUCACCUAGGCGACGAUCCCUAGCUGGUCUGAGAGGAUGACCAGCCACUCUGGAACGGAGACACGGUCCAGACUCCUACGGGAGGCAGCAGUGGGGAAUAUUGCACAAUGGGCGCAAGCCUGAUGCAGCCAUGCCGCGUGUAUGAAGAAGGCCUUCGGGUUGUAAAGUACUUUCAGCGGGGAGGAAGGGAGUAAGGUUAAUACCUUUGCUCAUUGACGUUACCCGCAGAAGAAGCACCGGCUAACUCUGUGCCAGCAGCCGCCGUAA